UAGAGAAUAGUUCCCCUAGUCUUAAGUAGUCCAAGGUAGUUUGUGUGCAUAAACUUAUGAAAAUAAAAGAACUGUGAAAAAGGAGACCACUUUGUGCACCGGACUUAAAUUACAUCCCCAGAACAAAACACAAGAGCUGAAAUCAAGCCGAUAUCUUGAAUACCUUAAAAUAGUGAAUUUCAUUUUCAACUUCACAAUUCAUUUUUGAAGUGAUGGGUUGGCUGACCAAAGUCUCGAGCAGCACGUACGACGCCACCACAAAAACGUCAGAAGACCCCGACGCCCUGGUCGAAGUCAGCGUGGGAUACGGCGUCUGCUUGUACCUCGGAGUUUUUUUUAAAGAAAAAAAUGUGAAUUUUCUAAAAUUCAUUACAAAUUUCGGUUUUUUAUUCAUUUUUAAAUUCUUAUGUACGUUAUACAUACACAACAACAUUAUAAAACAUUAUACAGUGUUAUCCCACUCAACAUCAGUACUAGAAACGAGUUUGAGCAAUAAUGAUUCAAAUUUGCAAAAACUUUGCAAAUUGAUCUCAUGUUUAUUAGAUUUCUAAAAAUAAUCAAGUUUUGGGAUUGGUGAGUAAUUUUAUUGACGAUAUGAAAGUAUAUGAAAGUAUAUGAAAGUAUUUCAAAAUCGCCAUUUGAAUACAUUGCUUAUUACUAUAUUUUCUAUAGUUUUCAAGCCAGACGUAAUUUUAGGAUUGAUUUCUGGGCAAGCAAGUAAGCUGAAAGUUAGAUAACCAUAGUUUUGUUGGAUUUGAACGCAAUUUAGACAAAUUUUGAUAUAUUUGUAGGGAGUAUUUGUAUUACAGAAAAAAAUGUGAGGUUUCUAAAAACCAUUAUAAAUUUCGGAUUAAAAAAAAAUUCUUAUGUACAUUAUACAUAUACAACAUUAUACAAUGUUUUAAAAAUUUCUUGGAAAAUGUCAUUACAAUGGCGACGUCGAGUGCGGUGUAGUAAAAAAAAACAUGGGUAGAAAUCAAGAUACUCGGAUUAUUAAAAUCAGCGAACUUCGCAAUUCGGUCGGAUUUUUGAGAUAAAGUUUAAUAAAAUAAAGUAAUUGCAAUCUCUUGAUUUUUGAUUUUUUUAACAUAAUGCACAAGUUACACGAAAAUGAGUGAAUACAAUUUAUAACUUAUAUUCGAAGGCAUGAUCUACUUUUGAUUUGGACGUUGCAAAAAAUUCAGAUUUCAUAAAUACGACGCUUAUUCAUGUCAUACUUUAAAAUUAGUUUCUAAAACUAUGUUAAGAGUUUUCCAAAAGCGUUCAAGUUUUCCGGAAAUUGUUAUUACCGGCGUCAAUGACAAUGACUGGUGACAAUUUGAAAGAAAUCGAAGAUUAGGCUCGUAAAAUUCUAUCGACGGAAGCGUCGACCUCUGAUUUGGUGUUGUAGCUCUAGUCUUGAACAUGAAUAUAUCGGGCUAUUUACUAUGAGCAAAUUUCUUUGUUUUGCAAAAAACUUAAAAAACUGCUCACAACGCGGGAUUUAAAAAAAUUAAACUUGACAACAAAAUUUCGGCGAUUUUAAUCCCCCAAAUUUUGAUUAAAAGUUCCAAUAAUUGCGAUAUUUCAAUUAAUUACCACUUCCAAUUUCUGUUGAAUUGGGUUAAGGUUUUUUUAAUACAUUUGUAAUAUUCUUGCGUACUUUGUAGAUAAAAAUUAAUAAAAAUGGCAUUUUAACUGUCAUUUAAGGUAAAAUUUAUUUGUUAAGUUUUCCUCAAAACUAAAAAAUUACGGGCAAAAUAGCAUUGGACAGAUUUUACGUCGAUUUCUAUAAUUUUAGAAUAUAUACAUCGCAAUUUUGCAACAGAUACAUUCCCCGUCACUACAUAUGUAUACGUUUCCAGUUUUUGGCAUGUGUUAUGCGUUGCAACUCACAAUGGAACCUAUUUUCCAGCUACACCAAGAUCGACUGUCAAAAAAUCAAGCCAAAAAUUAGGAUUCACGUGACACUAAUUUUUCCGUUGAAUGGCUCCUUUGAAGAAAAAUAUUGGAGGUCAAAGUUCACACGAGCGCCUUGGUUUUCGCCCAGUGGAGGAAAACGCAAGAGAAAAUUUGCUCAAAAAUUGAACUUGAGAAAAUCAAUAUCAAAUAAUUAGUUUUUACUUAUUCUUUUUAUCACUUAACAGUCAAGGAAAGAGGGUAAGAUUUAGCCGAAGAAGAGCUAAAUUUAGCUCCGGCUUUAUUUAGCCGAUCCGGAGCUAAAUUUAGCUCCGAAGGGUAAAUUUUUGCUCCAAAUCUUCCGCCAAAUUUAAAUUAUUCAAUCUAUAACUAUGCAUUUAUAAUAACCUUCACUUUUUAAUUUUUGUAACCACGGUGGGCCAGAUCACACAAAGCUGGGCCAUUGCUUAUUUGGUAAGUGAAACCUGCUGAAUUUACCUAAACUGACAAAAGCAACCGUCAGUGCAUAAUAAAGGCGGUCGGUCUUUUUAAAGUUUGACCAAGCUAAAUUUAGCCGAGGAUCAGCUAAAUUUAGCUCUUUUUCAGAGCAAAAUUGAGCUUGAUGAGCUAGAUUUAGCUUUCGGAGCUAAAUCUAGCUCCGGAUCGGCUAAAUAAAGCCGGAGCUAAAUUUAGCUCUUCUUCGGCUAAAUCUUACCCUCUUUCCUUGACUGCUUUAUAUUUAUUUCAUAAUCAAAAUUCAGCGUUCGUAACUUUGUAAACCUAAAAAUUAAAUUAUCGAUUUUAAUGGCAUUAAAAGCUUCACAUUGUAAAAUACCCACGGAGGUGAAUAGGUUUCAAAAUAGCCAUUUGAGUGUAUGUGAAGGAGUGAAAGGUGAGACACAACAAUUCAAACUCAAAACCCGGAUACAAUGCCACCUUAAUAAUGGAGGUCUCCCAGCGUAUACUCUCCGAUAAACUAGUGUCAAACAACCACAAAUUUAAUAAAACUUUCUUAAGUAUGACACGACCUCCAAAUGGGCACGUUUGGCAGAAAUAUUUGCAUCCAAAGAGGAGAAAACGGCCCCUAAAAUAUAAAAACUUGAGAUGUUGCAAAUUUUCUGCGCAUUUUUUCCAUUCGGAUGCAAAUAUACAUGCAAAACUUGAACAUUGACAAAUAGUAUUUUUUUAAUGUAUAUUAAUUUACUUAAUUUGUAAGUUAAAUUGGUUAUUUACAAUUUCUAUAAACAAAUCGUAGAAACGGCUCAUGAAUUUCUUUCCGUUUCUGGGGAAAAUUCACAACUUUUGCUCCAAAUUUACCCCCACAAAGAUAAUCUUAAUUGGUUCGGACUGCUUGACAGUUUUCUUUAAUUUUUUUUAGUUUCAACCCACAAUAAAGAUUACUCAGGUUACAAAUAUGUUUCGUAAACUUGCAAAAAUUGGAUGACUCUUGGAUGCUUUGUAAGGAGUUCGACGUCGACAAUGUUUUAGAUAAAUUGUCGAAAUAAAUUAUAACAAUUAGAUAAAGCUUCUUUCCGAAGUGCAAGUUAAAUAGAUCAAUUUACAAUAAGAUUUCAAAUAAAAUCAGGUUCAAGGAAAUUUCCGCUGGAAAAUUUUCUUCGUAAUCUCUUCAAAACUACAUGGAUUCGUUACAUAAAGCAAUUCACGCAAGCUUUUGUAACUUUGUAAAAUCUGUAAGUUUGGUAAAAUAUUUUUUAAACUUUUACAAAAUAAGAAGACGCCCUUGACCUGAGUAAGGUAACAAAAAUUUGUAAGCAAUCUUUACUCAGAAAUACGUGUAAAAUGUUACAAAAGUUUGUGAAUUUACGGAAUUUAGGAAUUUAACAAAGUUACCAUUAGUAACUUACCAAGACCUCCGCGAAUUGCCUCAAUUUUAUUGAAUAUAUUUAAAAAUAUUUGUUCUCCUUGGCAGGAAGUGAUGAGUUUAGCUGCCGGUUGUCUCGAGCCGCACGUACGACGCCAUCACAAAAACGCCAGAAGACCCCGACGCCCUGGUCAAAGUCAGCGUGGGCUACGGAAUCUGCUUGUACCUCGGGGUUUACAAUGGUCAGUCAGAGCUAAAUUUUUGUAUUUACAGUAAAAUCUCAAAACCUUGUUACCAAGUUGGGUACAAUAGUUUUAAUAGAAAUUAAAUUUGAAACAUUUUUCUGUUAUAAAUUAUUUUGUAUAAAUAUUUAGAAUUUCUUUGAACUAUUGUUACCGUUGGGUGACAAAUAAUAAUAUUGACUGAAGAUGGUGUCAAUUUUAUGCAAAUUAUCAAUCCGUUGGCACCAGGCCACGGGCGAAAAGAUUUGUUUAAACUCGACAAGAUACGUAAAAUAUGUCGAACUGUUUUUACCUAUUUAAGAAAAACAACGGAUUUUACCGAGAAAUUAAGAUUUUUGUAAUAUAGGAAACUCUGUUAAUCUGUGCAUUCACCUUAAACUCAUGUUUUUUUACCUAGUUUUCCAAAACUGACCAAAUUAUGAUAAAAUUAGCUUCUGAAAAGCGGUGAAUGCAACUGCGGGCACCCAAAAUUGCCAAUCUAUAGAAUAUAAUUUUAAUCUUAACAUGCGUACAAUAUAUUUAUCGACGUUAAACUACGAUCUGGUAAAAUUUUUAUUUGUAAGUAAAUUUCCGGAUUUUAGAGUUUGUACAAAUCCGUCCCCGGGUACGGUUCAGUUCAACCAAAUUACAAUCCUAGAUUUGUGUAAACUCUAUAAAAUAAUUCAUAUUUGUAAAACAAGCUGAUACGGUUCUUUACCUGUUUUUUUAAAACUAACGGGUUUUACAAUGGUUUUACAAAGAAAUCUAGGUUUUUGUAACUCUGUAAAUCUGUACAUUUGUCUUCAAUUUGUAUUUUUUUUUAAACUUAAUUUUCCAAAAAUAUGAUAAAUUUGGAUUGGGAAAAGUGUUAAAAAUAACACCACCAGAUAAUAACGGUAAUACGUUAUACAUAAUUUAUGUCGUAAAAUAUAGCAGAUUUCCGUGCGAAAUAUGUACUAUUAAUCU